rnacentral:sRNA from 12 species
UGCCUAAACCUUUUGCGAGGCAUGGCAUUAAAAGUCCGAUCAAGGUAUUAAGCUCGUCGUCAGAGCACCUUGAUCGGUCAUGUCUCGAAAGAGAUGUGGGUAGUCUUCGGACUAUC